AAAAAAUGUAGGUUAAUGGCUGUUACAAAGAGAUGAUAGCUGUAUUGGCACAGGAGACAGAAAAGGCUAGAGCAAAAAAAGAGUUUUAUAGAGCGAGACAAGAGUUGUUCCAGCAAUUGCAUCUGUAAAGCCUGGGCACAAUACAAUAAGCAGGGGUUCAGGAUCCAAGAGAAGUUUCUGACCCAAAUGCCUGCCUGCCUGACUGACGUGACCUAGUAUUGGCUAGAAACCCCGAUGUAAUGAUUCGAAUACUACACAGAAAAAUAAUAACUAUCUAUAUCAAUAUGAUAGAGCUGAUAGAAGCUGCAUAUUCACUGUUUUGUGCCUGUUUAAAGAAAGGU